UACUGGUGGUUGGCUUUUUGCUUGCGCAACAACUUCUACCUGGCAUACCUCUUUAGUCUUGUGUCAAUGCUUGUAUUGCAUUGAAUGCAUGAUGGGUUUCUUGUGUUGCAUGCCUAAUUAAUGGUAUCACUUGAUGAAUUGGUUUUCCUUUCGUCUGGCAUUGCCUAUGCAAUGUGAGAUGAACCUUGAAGCAGCCUUUGUGAUCCACUCUUUUGAUGCAUACGCAUUGAUUUUGUGGCUCAUUGAGUGUUGCUCGGUCUCAUGGAUAUGGAACCUGGUGUGGGCAUGGAAUCUUAAUGGUUCCUUGUUUGCCCAAGUUUAGCUUUUAUAAAACGAUUGUCUAUCAUGUGUUAACGUGGUAGACUACUUCGAAUAUGAAUGCUACCU
rnacentral:misc_RNA from 1 species